UACGUAGGGUGCGAGCGUUGUCCGGAAUUACUGGGCGUAAAGAGCUCGUAGGUCGUUUGUCGCGUUGUUCGUGAAAACUCACAGCUCAACUGUGGGCGUGCGGGCGAUACGGGCAGACUGGAGUACUGCAGGGGAGACUGGAAUUCCUGGUGUAGCGGUGGAAUGCGCAGAUAUCAGGAGGAACACCGGUGGCGAAGGCGGGUCUCUGGGCAGUAACUGACGCUGAGGAGCGAAAGCGUGGGGAGCGAACAGG
rnacentral:rRNA from 1 species